rnacentral:rRNA from 1 species
AUGCCAUGGACAUGGACGUCUUCAAGGGAAGCUGAUACCCACACAGCCAGCUCGUGCUCACUGUGUUUGACCGCCAGCUCAUGCUCUACCACGACAAGUACUGAUGCCCACACAGGUAUGACCUGCGUGCCCCCCAUGACCUUGCAUCGGUGCUAUGUGCGUGAGCGCGCAUGCUUGCUGCAAUGUCGGGUGCGGUGGUGUGCUGCAAACUUGCGAUGGGGGCGGCCAGGUGGUGCGUGGCCGUGUGUGGUGAUAUAUGGAGCUCCGGAGAUUCCUAUUGGAUUGCCAAGACUUGGUCUUGGUUCUGCCGUUGGUCUUUAUGAAGCUUUGGAACUGAGGGACGGUGGAUCUGACUACUUGGGAAAGGGUGUUUCCAAGGUUCCAUUUGAGCGAAUUUUAUAUUAG